rnacentral:lncRNA from 1 species
UUAACAUCCCAGGUAAAGAGAAUAAAGUGUUUUAAAAAUAACUAACACAGAUAUAUUUUUGUCUCCUCUCUGAAGAGCUGAUAACUGGAUCGCUGACUCUAACCCUAACUUUAAGCAAGUCUAUCUCUUUAUAGAGUCUACCAAAAGAACUGAAACUUAAGCAUCUGAACUUUAAACUAAAAGAGAUGAUGGAGCCCAAACCCCUUCUCAUCAGGAAAAGUUGGAACACCCUUGAGUUUUGAGAGUGAGGAGCAUAGAAGAAAUAGAAUUGUAAUUUUCUUCUUGAGCUGCUUUGAGUCCACUACCU